rnacentral:tRNA from 1 species
GACAAGGAAAGGAAUUAAACCCCUCUAAGCAGGACUACAGCCUGCCGCCUAAACACUCGGCCACCUUACC